UACGGAGGGUGCAAACGUUGCUCGGAAUCAUUGGGCGUAAAGCGCACGUAGGCGGUCGGCUAUGUCGGAUGUGAAAGCCUCGGGCUUAACCCGAGAAGGGCAUCCGAAACUGGCCGGCUUGAGUACGGAAGAGGGUCUCGGAAUUCCCGGUGUAGAGGUGAAAUUCGUAGAUAUCGGGAGGAACACCAGUGGCGAAGGCGGAGACCUGGGCCGAUACUGACGCUGAGGUGCGAAAGCGUGGGGAGCAAACAGGG
rnacentral:rRNA from 1 species